GACGAACCGUGCAAACGUUGUUCGGAAUCACUGGGCUUAAAGGGCGCGUAGGCGGGCUCACAAGUCCGGGGUGAAAGCCCCCAGCUCAACUGGGGAAGCGCCUUGGAUACUGUGGGCCUCGAGGGGGGUAGGGGCGCGCGGAACUUCCGGUGGAGCGGUGAAAUGCGUAGAUAUCGCUUGGAACGCCGAAGGUGAAAACAGGCUGCUGGGGUUGCGCCGACGCUGAGACACGAAAGCCAGGGGAGCAAACGGG
rnacentral:rRNA from 1 species